UACGGAGGGUGCAAGCAUUAAUCGGAUUUAUUGGGCGUAAAGGGCGCGUAGGCGGGGAGAUAAGUCAGAUGUGAAAUCCCGGGGCUCAACCCCGGAACAGCAUUUGAAACUGUUUUUCUAAGAGGGUAGGCGGAGGAAAUGGAAUUCCACAAGUAGCGGUGAAAUGCGUAGAGAUGUGGAAGAACACCAGUGGCGAAGGCGGUUUCCUAGCUUAUACCUGACGCUAAAGCGCGAAAGCAAGGGGAGCAAACAGG
rnacentral:rRNA from 1 species